rnacentral:lncRNA from 1 species
UGGGUCUGAUUACACCCAGAAGAAAUGUUGGUUGUACAUGGUUGCAUCUCACUGUGUGAUUUGUGAGACUCUAUGCUACAGUCCAUGAAUACUUGUCUGUGGUUACAUGUGUUCCAAGAGGCUGUGUGAUGCCGAGUGCAGUAUGUGAUGGAUGUGUCCAAAAGGGGCUGUGCGUAGGCGGGUGGGGCUUCGUGUGAUUUCUAAGGCCUAGUCCCAAAGAGAUCAGGGGUCUGCAGCCUGUAUGCUGUGGUAGAAGAGAGGAGCCCUCAGCUGCCCAGGCAUGCAAUCCUCAAACUGCUUCUGUCCCUGCUGGGAGAGAAUCCUUGCGGCCACUCCUAUUGAUGCUGGACACAUGGAGAGCACAGGGUGAACAGGCAGCUGCGGUACUUUUGAGAAGAUGAAGGACUUCUUCCUAAGAAGAAACCCAGGGUCAGGAGUCAGAGUACUUGGUAUGAAGGGCUGGACUACAGCCAGGGCAGACCUGUCCUGCCAACACCAGUGAACUCACAGACAGGCAGAGGGCCCCUGGAGAAAGGAGCUCCUAGGCCAGCAGCAUCCUAACUCACCAUCCAUCCCAAAGCUGUAUGACAGAGGAAGGCGCAUUUCCUCACUCAGGCUUCAGUUUAGCCACCUCAAAGACUGGAAAAAGAUGGCAGACAUGAAAUCUCAAAGACAUGAAUGACUUCCACUUGCAACCUGAAGACAACUUUGCUCCAAGUCCACGUUCCUUCCCAACCCAGACAGUCCACAUCUCUGAUAAUGUUCUUCCCUCUUCAGCAGAGUCUAUGGGGAAACUACUUGGAAGGGAUGAAGAAAGAGCUGGGCAAGAAAAAUUAUGGAGGGGAGGUAUGAAGGUAAACAUGGUCACCAAGGCUCUGGAGCUCCCCAUGGCUGAGAGUCUGUGGGUCGGAACAGAGCAAGGCACCUGCUGACGAAGUCCCCUCGGGGCAGCCUUCUAUGGAACAGAGCAGAGCAAAGUUGGAGGCAGAUUGUGGCAAAGUGUUUGUCCAACACUACCAGAGGGGAAAAACAUUCUUUUUCUUUUUGUGAUGUUCUUUUCACAUUCUAGAUCAGAGUUUCUCAACCUGUGAGUCUCGACCUCUUCAGCAAACCUCUAUCUUCAAAAAUAUUUACAUUGUGAUUCAUAACAGUGGCAAGAUUACAGUUCUGAAAUAGCAAUGAAAAAUGUUAUGGUUUGGAGUCAUCAUAACACUGUAUUAAAGGAACUGUAUUAAAGGGUCACAGCAUUAGGAAGGUUUAGAACCACUGCUUUAAACCAGUGCACUGUGGAGACCAGUGCACACAGACCCUGUUGUAGGAGCCCACAGAAGCCCACUUGGGAUUAAGACAGAUUUCCCAAAAAAUUCUAAAAUGGCCUUAAACAGCCAUCUGCCACUUUGAGCUACAUAAUUAAUGUAAAGAGGUCAAAUAUUAAGCCAAGAUUAAAAACAAGCAGAUACAACUAUUCAUUAAUAUGCAAUUUUCCUUUAUCAUCAAUAAGUGGUAAAAUUAUAUGUAUACAAAAUUAUUUUAAACAAUUUACUUGUGGUUUAUU